rnacentral:rRNA from 2 species
AGGGUUUCGNUCGUAAANUCUGUNNUAAGAAGAACAUAUCUGAGAGNNCUNUCAGGUAUUGACGGUAUUUAACCAGAAAGCCACGGCUAACUACGUGCCAGCAGCCGCGGUAAUACGUAGGUGGCAAGCGUUGUCCGGAUUUAUUGGGCGUAAAGCGAGCGCAGGCGGUUUUUUAAGUCUGAUGUGAAAGCUUUCGGCUCAACCGAAGAAGUGCAUCGGAAACUGGGAAACUUGAGUGCAGAAGAGGACAGUGGAACUCCAUGUGUAGCGGUGAAAUGCGUAGAUAUAUGGAAGAACACCAGUGGCGAAGGCGGCUGUCUGGUCUGUAACUGACGCUGAGGCUCGAAAGUAUGGGUAGCAAACAGGAUUAGAUACCCUGGUAGUCCAUACCGUAAACGAUGAAUGCUAAGUGUUGGAGGGUUUCCGCCCUUCAGUGCUGCAGCUAACGCAUUAAGCAUUCCGCCUGGGGAGUACGGCCGCAAGGCUGAAACUCAAAGGAAUUGACGGGGGCCCGCACAAGCGGUGGAGCAUGUGGUUUAAUUCGAAGCUACGCGAAGAACCUUACCAGGUCUUGACAUACUAUGCAAAUCUAAGAGAUUAGACGUUCCCUUCGGGGACAUGGAUACAGGUGGUGCAUGGUUGUCGUCAGCUCGUGUCGUGAGAUGUUGGG